UACAGAGGUCCCAAGCGUUGUUCGGAUUCACUGGGCGUAAAGGGUGCGUAGGUGGCUUGGUAAGUUCGAUGUGAAAUCUCCGGGCUUAACCCGGAAAUGGCAUUGAAUACUAUUGAGCUGGAGGUUUGGAGGGGGGACUGGAAUUCUCGGCGUAGCAGUGAAAUGCGUAGAUAUCGAGAGGAACACCAGUGGCGAAGGCGAGUCCCUGGACAACACCUGACACUGAGGCACGAAAGCUAGGGGAGCAAACAGG
rnacentral:rRNA from 1 species